AGAGCAUACGGUGGAUGCCUUGGCGAUAUCUGCCGAUGAAGGACGCGACAAGCUGCGAAAAGCUGCGGUGAGGUGCAAAUGACCUUUGACCCGCAGAUGUCCGAAUGGAGCAAUCCGGCUGUGGUUAUGCACAGUCACCCAUGCCUGUGAGUAUGGGAGGGAACCAGGCGAACUGAAACAUCUAAGUAGCCUGAGGAGAAGUAAUCAAACGAGAUACCCCCAGUAGCGGCGAGCGAACGGGGCAGAAGCCCAAACCGCAGAAGGAAACUUUUACGGGGUUGAGGGCCGUCAUACGAACGUGGAAUCCAGCUGAAGCUUCUGGGAAGGAGCGCCGCAGGAUGUGAAAGCCAUGUAAGCGAAAGAGGAAGCGGAACAGACGGUACCAGAGUACCGCGGGACACGAGAAACCCCGUGGGAAGCAGGGGGGACCACCCUCCAAGGCAAAACACAGAUAUCGACCGAUAGCGCAUAGUACCAUGAGGGAAAGGUGAAAAGCACCCCGGGAGGGGAAUGAAACAGAACCUGAAACCGUAUGUUUACAAGCAGUCGGAGACCGUAUAUAUAUCAGGUCGACGGCGUGCCUAUUGAAGAAUGAACCGGCGAGUUAUGAGGUCCAGCGAGGUUAAGCAGGAAAUGCGGAGCCGAAGCGAAAGCGAGUCUUAACAGGGCGAGUAGUUGGACUGCAUAGACCCGAAACCACAGUGAUCUACCCAUGUCCAGGUUGAAGCACAGGUAAAAAUGUGUGGAGGACCGAACCUAUAUCCGUUGAAAAGGGUUAGGAUGAGGUGUGGGUAGGGGUGAAAUUCCAAUCGAACGUGGAGAUAGCUGGUUCUCCCCGAAAUAGCUUUAGGGCUAGCCUCAGGGUAAAGAUUGCAGGCGGUAGAGCACUGAUCAGGAGAGGGACCUACCCGGUUACCAAACCCAGUCAAACUACGAAUGGCUGCAAUUAUACCUGGGAGUCAGACUACGACUUAUAAGGGCCGUGGUCAAAAGGGAAACAGCCCAGAUCAUCAGCUAAGGUCCCAAAUGCCGUGCUAAGUGGCGAAGGAUGUGGCGUUUCAUAAACAACCAGGAUGUUGGCUCAGAAGCAGCCACCAUUUAAAGAGUGCGUAAUAGCUCACUGGUCGAGAGACGCUGCGCCGAAAAUGUCCGGGGCUCAAGCACGGAACCGAAGCUAUGGCAUUGCGUAAGCAAUGGGUAGGGGAGCGUUCUUAUGGGGAAGAAGCAUUACCGUAAGGAGAUGUGGACACAUAAGAAGUGAGAAUGCCGGUAUGAGUAUCGAAAAGAAAGGUGAGAAUCCUUUCCACCGAAAGCCCGAGGGUUCCUGAGCAACGAUCGUCGUCUCAGGGUAAGUCGGGACCUAAGCCGAGGCACAGACGCAUAGGCGAUGGACAACAGGUUGAAAUUCCUGUACCGGAUGGAGUCAUUUGAGCAAUGGAGUGACGCAGGAGGGCACAUGAUCGCGCGACUGGAAGAGCGCGUCCAAGUGCGUAUGUUGAAUCGGAGGCAAAUCCCCGAUUCUGAAAGCAGAGACAUGAUGGGGAGUUAUAAGCGAUUAUGACGAACUCAUGGAUCCCACACUGCCAAGAAAAACUUCUAGCGAGACGAAAUCCGCCCGUACCGUAAACCGACACAGGUAGGCGGGGAGAGAAUCCUAAGGUGCGCGGGAAAACCCUCGUUAAGGAACUCGGCAAAUUGCAUCCGUAACUUCGGGAGAAGGAUGGCCCUGAGUAGGCGAAGUGCAGAAACGCACGGAACAGAAAAGGGUGGCAGAAAAGAGGCCCAAGCAACUGUUUACCAAAAACACAGGUGCCUGCGAAAGCGAAAGCUGAAGUAUAGGUGCUGACGCCUGCCCGGUGCUGGAAGGUUAAGGAGAGAGGUUAGCGCAAGCGAAGCUUUGAACUGAAGCCCCAGUGAACGGCGGCCGUAACUAUAACGGUCCUAAGGUAGCGAAAUUCCUUGUCGGGUAAGUUCCGACCCGCAUGAAAGGCGUAAUGAUUUGGGCGCUGUCUCAACGAGGGGCCCGGUGAAAUUGAAAUACCUGUGAAGAUGCAGGUUACCCGCGACUGGACAGAAAGACCCCAUGGAGCUUUACUGCAGCUUGAGAUUGAAUCCCGGUGGCAGACGCACAGGAUAGGUGGGAGGCUUUGAGAUAGUGACUUUGGUUGCUAUGGAGCCGACGUUGGGAUACCACCCUUCUGUUGCUGGGAUUCUAACGCGAAGAUUAACAACCUUGCGGACCAUCUCAGGUAGGCGGUUUGACUGGGGCGGUCGCCUCCGAAAGAGUAACGGAGG
rnacentral:rRNA from 1 species